rnacentral:rRNA from 1 species
GACGAACGCUGGCGGCGUGCUUAACACAUGCAAGUCGAACGAAGUGGCGAACGUGUGAGUAACGCGUAAUCAACCUGCCCUUCAGAGGGGGACAACAGUUGGAAACGACUGCUAAUACCGCAUACUGAAGGAGGGGAUUGCGUCUGAUUAGCUAGUUGGAGGGGUAACGGCCCACCAAGGCGAUGAUCAGUAGCCGGGCUGAGAGGAUGGACGGGAAAAUUUGGACUGGGGAACGGCCCAGACUCCUACGGGAGGCAGCAGUGGGGAAACUUCCGAAAUGGAGCGAAGUCUGACGGCGGAAAGCCGCGUGAGUGAUGACGGCCUUCGGGUUGGAAAGCUCUGUUAAUCGGGACGCGGUACCGAAAUAGAAAGCCACGGCUAACUACGUGCCAGCAGCCGCGGUAAUAC